rnacentral:rRNA from 1 species
CUGGAGGUAUCAGAAGUGCGAAUGCUGACAUAAGUAACGAUAAAGCGGGUGAAAAGCCCGCUCGCCGGAAGACCAAGGGUUCCUGUCCAACGUUAAUCGGGGCAGGGUGAGUCGACCCCUAAGGCGAGGCCGAAAGGCGUAGUCGAUGGGAAACAGGUUAAUAUUCCUGUACUUGGUGUUACUGCGAAGGGGGGACGGAGAAGGCUAUGUUGGCCGGGCGACGGUUGUCCCGGUUUAAGCGUGUAGGCUGGUUUUCCAGGCAAAUCCGGAAAAUCAAGGCUGAGGCGUGAUGACGAGGCACUACGGUGCUGAAGCAACAAAUGCCCUGCUUCCAGGAAAAGCCUCUAAGCAUCAGGUAACAUCAAAUCGUACCCCAAACCGACACAGGUGGUCAGGUAGAGAAUACCAAGGCGCUUGAGAGAACUCGGGUGAAGGAACUAGGCAAAAUGGUGCCGUAACUUCGGGAGAAGGCACGCUGAUAUGUAGGUGAAGUCCCUUGCGGAUGGAGCUGAAAUCAGUCGAAGAUACCAGCUGGCUGCAACUGUUUAUUAAAAACACAGCACUGUGCAAACACGAAAGUGGACGUAUACGGUGUGACGCCU